AUACAAAUUACUUAUAGUUUUUAAGCCCACAACUGACAACUAUCUACUCAAAUCAGCAGUGGAUCCCCGAACUAAAGAUCCUUAAUAUCAGAUUGAAACCUCUGGCAGCAAAAACCAAUAAAUCGACAGCUUAACCAUGUAUUAUUAGGUAUAAACAUUAUAUUAUACCAUUUAUUCAUAACGAAAUCAAUGAAGUCAAGAAGUCUAAAGAUUGUACAGGUAAAUUGUUUCAAUGAAGUACGUAAGCGGUGUAAAACACAUACGAAAGCUAAGAAAUGAUCGGUAAAAGUUCGACUGAAAACCAUCGAGAAAGUUUUAUGCAUUAUAUAAGAAUUCAGUGGCUUAACGAUUCUGCUGCGUUGUCACUGUUAAAUAAAACACACAUUCGGGGAAAUCAAAUUGGCUUCACUCUGCAAUUUCAGUUAAGAUUAUAAUGGCAUCACUCGCUUAAUUCCGAUUGCCCUACCCUAGCGCGAAAUUAUGUAUAUAAUUAAUUAAAUGAUACAACACGUGAACGUGUCUCUUUGAAGCCUUAAGAUACUACAACAAUUACCAGCUAAUCUUAGAU
ensembl:ncRNA asRNA:CR45789 antisense RNA:CR45789